GCCUGGGUGGCUCAGUCGGUUGAGCGUCCGACUUCGGCUCAGGUCUUGAUCUCACGGUUCAUGGGUUCGAGUCCCACAUCGGGCU
rnacentral:tRNA from 1 species